rnacentral:rRNA from 1 species
UACGGAGGUUGCAAGCGUUGUUCGGAAUAACUGGGCGUAAAGGGAGCGCAGGCGGCUUGGUAAGUCUAAAGUGAAAUCCCAGGGCUCAACUCUGGACGUGCUUUGGAUACUGCCUGGCUUGAGUACGUGAGAGGAGGUUGGAAUUCCAGGUGUAGCGGUGAAAUGCGUAGAUAUCUGGAGGAACACCGGUGGCGAAAGCGGAUCUCUGGCUCGUUACUGACGCUGAGGCUCGAAAGCGUGGGGUGCAAACGGG